AACGAACGCUGGCGGCAUGCCUAACACAUGCAAGUCGAACGAGACCUCCGGGUCUAGUGGCGCACGGGUGCGUAACGCGUGGGAACCUGCCCUUAGGUUCGGAAUAACUCCCCGAAAGGGGUGCUAAUACCGGAUAAUGUCUUCGGACCAAAGAUUUAUCGCCUUUGGAUGGGCCCGCGUUGGAUUAGCUAGUUGGUAGGGUAAAAGCCUACCAAGGCGACGAUCCAUAGCUGGUCUGGGAGAAUGAUCAGCCACACUGGGACUGAGACACGGCCCAGACUCCUACGGGAGGCAGCAGUGGGGAAUAUUGGACAAUGGGCGAAAGCCUGAUCCAGCAAUGCCGCGUGAGUGAUGAAGGCCUUAGGGUUGUAAAGCUCUUUUACCCGGGAUGAUAAUGACAGUACCGGGAGAAUAAGCUCCGGCUAACUCCGUG
rnacentral:rRNA from 1 species